AUUGAACGCUGGCGGCAGGCUUAACACAUGCAAGUCGAGCGGGGAAGGGUAGCUUGCUACCUGACCUAGCGGCGGACGGGUGAGUAAUGCUUAGGAAUCUGCCUAUUAGUGGGGGACAACAUUCCGAAAGGAAUGCUAAUACCGCAUACGCCCUACGGGGGAAAGCAGGGGAUCUUCGGACCUUGCGCUAAUAGAUGAGCCUAAGUCAGAUUAGCUAGUUGGUGGGGUAAAGGCCUACCAAGGCGACGAUCUGUAGCGGGUCUGAGAGGAUGAUCCGCCACACUGGGACUGAGACACGGCCCAGACUCCUACGGGAGGCAGCAGUGGGGAAUAUUGGACAAUGGGCGCAAGCCUGAUCCAGCCAUGCCGCGUGUGUGAAGAAGGCCUUUUGGUUGCAAAGCACUUUAAGCGAGGAGGAGGCUACUUGGAUUAAUACUCUAGGAUAGUGGACGUUACUCGCAGAAUAAGCACCGGCUAACUCUGUGCCAGCAGCCGCGGUAAUACAGAGGGUGCGAGCGUUAAUCGGAUUUACUGGGCGUAAAGCGUGCGUAGGCGGCUUUUUAAGUCGGAUGUGAAAUCCCUGAGCUUAACUUAGGAAUUGCAUUCGAUGCUGGGAAGCUAGAGUAUGGGAGAGGAUGGUAGAAUUCCAGGUGUAGCGGUGAAAUGCGUAGAGAUCUGGAGGAAUACCGAUGGCGAAGGCAGCCAUCUGGCCUAAUACUGACGCUGAGGUACGAAAGCAUGGGGAGCAAACAGG
rnacentral:rRNA from 1 species